rnacentral:tRNA from 1 species
GGUGGUGUAGUUCAACUGGUCAGAGAACGCUCGCCCCGUAAGCGAGCGAUGCGGGUUCGACUCCCGCCGCCACCUUCA